GAAUAUUGCGCAAUGGGCGAAAGCCUGACGCAGCAACGCCGCGUGAGGGAUGACGGCCUUCGGGUUGUAAACCUCUUUCAGCCCCGACGAAGCGUGAGUGACUGUAGGGGAAGAAGAAGCACCGGCUAACUACGUGCCAGCAGCCGCGGUAAUACGUAGGGUGCGAGCGUUGUCCGGAAUUAUUGGGCGUAAAGGGCUCGUAGGCGGCCUGUUGCGUCUGCUGUGAAAUCCCGGGGCUUAACCCCGGGUCUGCAGUGGAUACGGGCAGGCUAGAGUCCGGCAGGGGAGACUGGAAUUCCUGGUGUAGCGGUGAAAUGCGCAGAUAUCAGGAGGAACACCGGUGGCGAAGGCGGGUCUCUGGGCCGGUACUGACGCUGAGGAGCGAAAGCGUGGGGAGCGAACAGG
rnacentral:rRNA from 1 species